UGAAAUUUGCGGUUUUAAUUCCAUAAUGCAGACGAUUUUUACGACGGCGGAACGUGAGCGGUUUAUUGGAAUUAAUUGUAAACAAAA